rnacentral:rRNA from 1 species
ACUGCUCAGUAACACGUGGAUAACCUGCCAUAAGGAAGGGGAUAACCUCGGGAAACUGAGGAUAAUACCCUAUAGGUUACAGACGCUGGAAUGCCCUGUAACCGAAAGUUCCGGCGCCUUAGGAUGGAUCUGCGGCCGAUUAGGUUGUUGUUGGGGUAACGGCCCAACAAGCCGAUAAUCGGUACGGGUUGUGGGAGCAAGAGCCCGGAGUUGGAUUCUGAGACAUGAAUCCAGGCCCUACGGGGCGCAGCAGGCGCGAAAACUUUACAAUGCGGGAAACCGUGAUAAGGGAACCCCGAGUGCCUGUAUAUGCAGGCUGUCCAGGUGUCUAAAAAACACCUGAAGAAAGGGCCGGGCAAGACCGGUGCCAGCCGCCGCGGUAAUACCGGCGGCUCGAGUGGUGGCCACUUUUAUUGGGCUUAAAGCGUUCGUAGCUGGGUUGUUAAGUCUCUUGGGAAAUCUGACGGCUCAACCGUCAGGCGUCCAAGGGAUACUGGCAAUCUUGGAACCGGGAGAGGUGAGGGGUACUUCGGGGGUAGGAGUGAAAUCCUGUAAUCCUCGAGGGACCACCUGUGGCGAAGGCGCCUCACCAGAACGGCUUCGACAGUGAGGGACGAAAGCUGGGGGAGCAAACCGGAUUAGAUACCCGGGUAGUCCCAGCCGUAAACGAUGCGCGUUAGGUGUAUCGGUGACCACGAGUCACCGAGGUGCCGAAGGGAAACCGUGAAACGUGCCGCCUGGGAAGUACGGUCGCAAGGCUGAAACUUAAAGGAAUUGGCGGGGGAGCAC